ACCUUUCCGCAGUGGCAAUAUCGUAACCAAUGAAAUGUAACUGCGAUUAUUGCUAGGUGAAAACUUUUACUAAUACCCCGCCAUAGAGAUGUGAAAUAUCAACUCUGUGGCAAUUUUUGGUAGCUCCUCAAAUGG